GACGGAGGAUGCAAGCGUUAUCCGGAAUGAUUGGGCGUAAAGCGUCUGCAGGUGGCAGUUCAAGUCUGCUGUCAAAGACCGGGGCUUAACUUCGGAAAGGCAGUGGAAACUGAACAGCUAGAGUAUGGUAGGGGCAGAGGGAAUUCCUGGUGUAGCGGUGAAAUGCGUAGAGAUGCGGAGGAACACCGAUGGCGAAGGCAGCCCCCUGGGCCGACACUAACGCUCAGGCACGAAAGCGUGGGGAGCAAACAGG
rnacentral:rRNA from 1 species